rnacentral:misc_RNA from 1 species
CGCACAUUGCGCCCUUUGGCAUUCCGAAGGGCAUGCCCGUUCGAGCGUCAUUAAAUCCACUCAAGCCUGGCUUGGUAUUGGGCGCCGGGGAAUCCCCCCGCGCCUCCAUUUCGCCGGCUGGCCGUCGUUUGACUUAGCGUUGUGACACAUGUCGCUGACGAUGAAGACGGACCGCGCCGUGAGAAUUUCCUUGAGUAUCGAUCGAUAUUCAGUAAAGGUUGACCUCGGAUCGGGUAGGAAUACCCGCUGAACUUAA